CUCUCUUAAUGUGCCAAUCUCAUCUGACCUUGGAAGCUAAGUAGGAUCAGACCUGUUUGGCACUUGAGAGACAACCAUCAAAGGCAGGC
rnacentral:rRNA from 1 species